CUGAAAGCAGUUAUUUCCUAAUCCGUCCAGUAUCAGGGUAAAACUAGCUGCAGCGCUGUGACUGUCGUUCAUGUUAGGCUCUAUGAAGCACACUCCUGGGCAGACUCUGUAUCGAAGUUAAGGCGGACUGUAAAUGAGAGAUGAAAAUGUCACACUUUGUUGUUUUUAAUGCCAAACUCUGGAGAGAUAAUCGGCUCCACACCAGGAAGUCCAUCCAGCAGGUUAAAAGAGCCGCCACACACCUGCCAGCCAUUAAUCUGGUUGUCCGUGACCUCGUAGCUGCUACAGUCCAGAUGUGGCAGGUCGCCCUCUGCUGGAGGAGUGAAGGGACGCUGCAUCGCUGCACAGUGUGCUGAGCUGCUUCUUCUUCUCUGCAUUUAUUCCUUCAGUGCAAUGCAUGAUGGGACGCCGUGCAUGGGUAGUGAGCGUCUGUCCUGUUCGUGUCAUCAGACAUCAUGAGGCUUGUUUCAUAUUUGGAGUUUAUUAAAACUACAGUGGAGCGAGUGACUUCAGCCAGCUCAGACUUCAGACUCAUCCUCAUCCUCUUCCUCACCUUCCACAUAUUCCCACACAUCUUUGUAACUGUGUGUGUGUGUGUGUGUGUGCUUUAACUCAUUUUCCUGAUUCUCCACCUCCAGCUGCUGUGCCCCUCCCUGCGCCAGCAGAGGACAGCUUUGUACCAGAUGAUCCUCGGGAGAGCGUCGGUCCUUACGGCGAUGAAGCCAACACGAUCGACACCACAGGAGUUCUGCUGGCCGAGCGUCAGACUGAGGAGAGCUCAGGUGAGUC